UGGGGAAUAUUGCGCAAUGGGGGGAACCCUGACGCAGCCAUGCCGCGUGAAUGAAGAAGGCCUUCGGGUUGUAAAGUUCUUUCGGUAUUGAGGAAGGUUGAUGUGUUAAUAGUACAUCAAAUUGACGUUAAAUACAGAAGAAGCACCGGCUAACUCCGUGCCAGCAGCCGCGGUAAUACGGAGGGUGCGAGCGUUAAUCGGAAUAACUGGGCGUAAAGGNCAAGCAGGCGGUUAUUUAAGUGAGGUGUGAAAGCCCCGGGCUUAACCUGGGAAUUGCAUUUCAGACUGGGUAACUAGAGUACUUUAGGGAGGGGUAGAAUUCCACGUGUAGCGGUGAAAUGCGUAGAGAUGUGGAGGAAUACCGAAGGCGAAGCNAGCCCCUUGGGAAUGUACUGACGCGCAUGUGCGAAAGCGUGGGGAGCAAACAGGAUUAGAUACCCUGGUAGUCCACGCUGUAAACGCUGUCGAUUUGGGGGUUGGGGUUUAACUCUGGCGCCCGUAGCUAACGUGAUAAAUCGACCGCCUGGGGAGUACGGCCGCAAGUU
rnacentral:rRNA from 1 species